rnacentral:rRNA from 1 species
UACGUAGGGACCGAGCGUUAUCCGGAAUCAUUGGGCGUAAAGAGCUCGUAGGCGGUUCAGAAAGUCGGCUGUGAAAGUCCAAGGCUCAACCUUGGAAAUGCAGUCGAGACUUCUGUGACUAGAGUCUGGUAGAGGAGAAUGGAAUUCCCGGUGUAGCGGUGGAAUGCGCAGAUAUCGGGAGGAACACCAGUAGCGAAGGCGGUUCUCUGGGCCUCGACUGACGCUGAGGAGCGAAAGCAUGGGUAGCAAACAGG